rnacentral:rRNA from 1 species
GACGUAGGUGGCGAACGUUAUCCGGAAUUAUUGGGCGUAAAGGGUGCGUAGGCGGCAUGAUAAGUUAUUGGCGGCAAAUCGAGGCUCAACCUCGUGGAAACUAAUAAUACUGUCUUGCUUGAGUGCAGAAGAGGUUAACGGAACUCCAUGUGGAGCGGUAAAAUGUGUAGAUAUAUGGAAGAACAUCAAUAACGGCGAAGGCAGUUAACUAUUCUGUUACUGACGUUGAGGCACGAAAGCGCGGGGAGCAAAAGAGU